GACGAACGCUGGCGGCGUGCUUAACACAUGCAAGUCGAACGGAAAGGCCCUGCUUUUGUGGGGUGCUCGAGUGGCGAACGGGUGAGUAACACGUGAGUAACCUGCCCUUGACUUUGGGAUAACUUCAGGAAACUGGGGCUAAUACCGGAUAGGAGCUCCUGCUGCAUGGUGGUGGUUGGAAAGUUUCGGCGGUUGGGGAUGGACUGGCGGCUUAUCAGCUUGUUGGUGGGGUAGUGGCUUACCAAGGCUUUGACGGGUAGCCGGCCUGAGAGGGUGAACGGCGACAUUGGGACUGAGAUACGGCGCAGACGCCUACGGGAGGCAGUAGGCGGGAAUAUUGCACAAUGGGCGGAAGCCUGAUGCAGCAACGCCGCGUGCGGGAUGCCGGCCUUCGGGUUGUAAACCGCUUUCGCCUGUGACGAAGAGUGAGUGACGGUAAUGGGUAAAGAAGCACCGGCUAACUACGUG
rnacentral:rRNA from 1 species